rnacentral:lncRNA from 10 species
GUUUUGGCUCGAGGCCGCCAUCCUCCACAAUCGUCCCCCAUCUGCAGCUUCCCGCGGUCCUCAGCCCACAGAGAGGCCCUGGGCCGGGAAGGCGCAGAGCCCUGUCAGGCUGGAGCGCAACGGGCCGGCGGCUUCCGCAUUAAGCCCGGCGCCCGGCACUGUUUAGCCGGGCCCUCUCCGGCUCAGCGCAGCCGGCGGUCCCCAACCACACCGGCCGGGGCUCGGCGCCGCACUCUUCCCAGAAGGUUGCGCUGGCUCGUGAGUGAUCCUGUCCUCUCCACCCGCAGGGCCGCGUUCGCACCAAAACCGUGAAGAAGGCGGCCCGGGUCAUCAUAGAAAAGUACUACACGCGCCUGGGCAACGACUUCCACACGAACAAGCGCGUGUGCGAGGAGAUCGCCAUUAUCCCCAGCAAAAAGCUCCGCAACAAGAUAGCAGGUUAUGUCACGCAUCUGAUGAAGCGAAUUCAGAGAGGCCCAGUAAGAGGUAUCUCCAUCAAGCUGCAGGAGGAGGAGAGAGAAAGGAGAGACAAUUAUGUUCCUGAGGUAAACUUUCUGGAUAUUUGGGCUUCUGGCUAAUCCUCAAAUGAUAAAGCUAUGGGUUCUUGGCUUCCAAAGGGACCUCAGCUGAAUCUGAGACCUUUAAUCCAUACAUUCCAUAACCAGCUGUGGGUGCCCAUAGGCCCCCUACCAGUUUCUUAGCCUCCAUUCUGCUCUUCUGGAACCAGUUAAGUCUAUUCCAUAUUUCAUGAGAGCCCUUA